GCAGGCUGGCGUUGCAGGCGUCUUAAAACACCCUCACCUGGGGAAAAUCGCUGCUCUGGUCUUCCCUGUCCUGCUGCACGGGGACGGUUCGCUCAGUAUUUUUGUGAAAUCCCCACUGUGUCUUUGGGUAGGCACCUACCAGGACCCUCCCUGGAUUUUCAAACCUUCUCCAGUCAUCGCAUGGUGGCAAGGUCCGGGGCUUAUGCAAGGAGACCAUGACCACUGAUGAGGCCACCAAGAGCGAAGGGGAGGUGCAGGCGGCGGCUCUCGCCGAGCGCGGGGAGGACAUCACGCCGGCUCGAGACCGAGGGGUCCUGAAGAUCAUUAAACGACCUGGGAGUGAAGAUGAGUCCCCCAUGAUCGGGGACAAAGUUUAUGUCCACUACAAAGGCAAACUGGCCAACGGGAAAAAAUUUGACUCCAGCCGCGAUCGGAACGAGCCCUUUGUCUUCAGCCUGGGCAAGGGUCAGGUAAUCAAGGCAUGGGACAUCGGGGUGGCUACCAUGAAGAAGGGAGAGAUCUGCUACUUGCUCUGCAAACCCGAGUACGCAUAUGGCUCUGCUGGCAGUGCCCCCAAAAUCCCCUCCAAUGCCACCCUCUUUUUUGAGGUCGAGCUGCUUGACUUCAAAGGUGAGGACUUGUUUGAGGAUGGAGGGAUAAUCCGGAGGAUUAAGAGGAAGGGAGAAGGUUACUCCAAUCCUAAUGAAGGUGCUACAGUGGAAAUUCACCUCGAGGGAUUCUGUGGCGGCACCAGGUUUGACUGCAAAGACGUGAAGUUUGUCGUGGGCGAAGGGGAGGACCAUGACAUCCCCAUCGGCAUCGACAAAGCCCUCGAGAAGAUGCAGAGGGGAGAGCACUGCAUCCUCUACCUUGGGCCACGGUACGGCUUUGGCGAGGCAGGGAAGCCGAAAUACGGCAUCCAGGCGAAUGCGGAGCUGGUGUACGAGGUUACGCUGAAAAGCUUUGAAAAGGCCAAGGAGUCAUGGGAGAUGGACACCAAAGAGAAGCUGGAGCAGGCUGCCAUCGUCAAGGAGAAAGGCACGAUGUACUUCAAGGAAGGCAAAUACCUGCAGGCAGUGAUUCAGUAUGGGAAGAUUGUGUCCUGGCUGGAAAUGGAGUAUGGCUUGUCUGAAAAAGAGUCGAAAGCCUCUGACUCUUUCCUCCUGGCUGCCUUCCUCAACCUGGCCAUGUGCUACCUGAAGCUGCGAGAGUAUGCCAAAGCUGUCGAGUGCUGCGAUAAGGCACUAGGACUGGACCAGGACAACGAGAAGGGCUUGUACCGGAGGGGUGAAGCCAGGUUAUUGAUGAAUGAGUUUGAGCUGGCAAAAUGUGACUUUCAAAAAGUGCUGGAAGUGAAUCCCCAGAACAAAGCAGCGAAAUCCCAGAUCUCCGUCUGCCAGAAGAAGACAAAGGAGCACAACGAGCGGGACCGGAGGAUCUACGCCAACAUGUUCACAAAGUUUGCGGAGAGGGAUGCAAAGUGACUGUUGAUGACCUCCUGGUCGCCGGUAAAAUGAAAUGUCAUCCUGUCUCUGGCAAGGCCAAGGGUAUUUUGAGACAUGAUAGUAUGGAUUUCCUGAACCUGGAAGCAGCUAGCAAAACUGGGGUCGAAAAAGCAGUGGAGAAAGCAGCUUGUGAAAAGGGACCGAAAACUCCCGGUGCUGAAGAUGAAGAGGCUGAAGGACAUGUAUGAUGGAGGAGGAGGGGAAGGGAGAGCCUCCUGCCCUCAGCCCGUGCAGAAAAAGGUUGCUGCCAGACCUCGGGACUCGCCAGUGUUUUCUUGUAAAGCUUGUUACAGUUUGUGUGAUCGUGGAAGCAAAAAGCGCCUCGCAAAGAAAAAUGAACCCCGUCCCACCGCCCUGGGCGCACUCGGGGGCACAGCGGGAGCGGCGGGAUGCCGUGGGACCACCGCACAUGGAACAAAUAGCUUUUAAACAGAGAGAAAGAGAAAAAAAAUAAUAAAUAAAAAUUGAAACUCUUG